UGCUGCUCGGCGGCUCGCCGGAGAGCGCCGCGCUCGCGGCGCGGUUCGGCUGGCAGUUCUGCUAUGCCGGACACUUC
rnacentral:tRNA from 1 species